CAUUCUCCUGCCUCAGCCUCUCCGAGUAGCUGGGACUACAGGCGCCCGCCACCACGCCCGGCUAAUUUUUUGUAUCUUUAGUAGAGACGGGGUUUCACCGUGGUCUCGAUCUCCUGACCUCGUGAUCCGCCCGCCUCGGCCUCCCAAAGUGCUGGGAUUACAAGCGUGAGCCACCGCGCUCGGCCCCAAAUAUCUUUUUAAAACCUAACUCCAUUUCCCUCACCAGAUACCACCUGAUUUCACUGGUUCCUUGGCAGCAAAGCUUCUGGAAAGAUUAGUCUAUUUUUACUAACAUCAGUCCUUUCCCUCCCACCGCUAAAUCCCCUAUAGUCACUUUUUUUAUUUUUAUUUUAUUUUUUUUUUAGCUCUCAGAACUUUACUAAACUGCUCUUGAAAAGGUCUAAUGACCACGCUGCUAAACCCGACAGUUGUUUCUCAGUGUUCAUCCCAGCAUGGUAGCAGUUGGUUACCUCAUUUGAGAUGCGUUCUUUAAUUGGUUCUGAGACACUACACUGUGAAUUUUCCUCCUACCUCCCUGGCUGUUCCUUCCCAGGUUCCUCUGCUGAUCUCUUCUGUUUCCUGAUGUCUGAAUGUUGAAUUGCCCCAGUUCUCAGUGCUGAGUCCCUUUCUUUAUCAACACUUGGUGAUCUUAUCCAGUCUCAUAACUUUAAAUACUAUUUAUAUGCUGACAACUCCUAAAUUUAUAUAUUCAGCCCAGACAUCACCCUGACCUCCAGACUCAUAUAUCUAGUUGCCUACUUAACAGCUCUACUUGACUUGAACAGCACUAGCUGUUCUCAAGUUUGACAUGAUUGAAGGUGAAUUUCUGAUUUUCCUCUUCCCCACACCUGAUCCACCUACAUUCUUCCUGUUUUUUCACUUAGUCAAACCAAAAGCCAUGGAGUCUUCCUUGACUCUUCUUUUUCUUUCACAGUCCAGAAAUCAGUGGGUCCACAGUUAGAGCAUGUCCAGAAUCUACCUCUGUUAUCAUCUUUCUACAAACUACCAUCGUGAUUUUCAUUCAUUUCUUGCCUAGCUUAUUGUAAUUGACUAAGUGAGCGCCCUGCUUUCCCCCUUAUACCUUACAGACAAUUCUCAACACAAGCUAGAGUGAUCUUUCACAAACAUAAAUGAGAUCAUGCCACUACUGUCUCCAAACCCUGCAACACAGAUGCCAAUUUCUCUUGGAGUAAGGCUAAAGUUCUUCUAAUAACCCACUAGGCCCAAUAUGUUGUGGCUCCCAGUCACACACAUUACCUCGUCUGCUAUUCUCCUCAGUGGACUGUAGAUGAUCAUGUACAUGAUGCUCCUUAUACACAUCAGUCAUGGCCUGCUUCAGUGUCUCUGCACUGGCUUUUUCUCUGCCUGGAAUGCACUUCUCCAAGAUAUCCACAUGGCCUUCUCACUCAGCUUCUUCAAGUCUUUGUUCAAACAUCACUGUAUUAGUUAUUUACUGCUGUGUAACAAAGUACUCCAAGUCUUAGGAGCUAAAAACAAACAUCUAUUAUCUCAUUGUUUCUGGAGUCCGAAUUCCAAGUACAACUUAGCUGGGUGCCUCUGCCUCAAGGAUUCUCUGCAGUCAAGAUGUCCCCAGGGCUAUUGUCUCAUCUUUAAGCUCUACUGAGGGAGGACCCACCUUCAAGCCCACUCACAUGGUUGUUAGCAGGAUUCAGUUCUCCAUGGGCUCUUGAACUAAAGGCCCUAGUUCCAGGCCAGGCACAGUGGCUCACACCUGUAAUUUCAGCACUUUUGGAGACCAAGGCAGGUGGAUUGCUUGAGCUCAGGAGUUCAAGACCAGCCUGGGCAACAUGGCAAACCCCAUCUCUACAAAAAAUACAAAAAUUAGUCGGGUGUGAUUGCUUGCACCUGUAGUCCCAACUACUUGGGAGGCUGAGGUGGGAGGAUCUCUUGAGCCCAGGAGGUAGAGGUUGCAGUGAGCCAAGAUUGUGCCACUGCACUCCAGACUGGGUAACAGAGGGAGACCCUGUCUCAAAAAAAAAGAAAAAAAGAAAAGAAAAAGAAAAAAGAAAAAAAAGGACCCUCAUUGGCUGGGGCCCCCUUCAGUUCCUUGCCUCUGUGGAGGGACCUCUCCAUAGAGCAUCUCACAACAUGGUACCCAGCUUCCAUCAGAGCAAGUAAGCAAGGGCGUCCACAAAGGAAGACAAUCUCAUUAUAACUUAAUCUUGGAAAUUUCAUCUUGUCACUUUUGCCAUAUUCUUUUUGUUAGAAAGGAGUUACUGGGUCCAGCCUAUACUCAAAGAAAGAGGAUACACAAAGAAGCCCAGGAAAUUCAGACUAUUGGGGAACAUCAAAGAGGCUGCAUACCACAGCUGCCUUCUCAAUCAGCCAGUCCUCCAUCCUUCUGCUGGGAACUUGGAUGCUAGAGCUCUUGCAGCCACACUGGGCCAUGAAGAUAAAGGUCACUCCCUAGGAAUGAUAGAGCAGAAAGCUGGAAGGAACCUGGAUCCCUGAUCUCUGUGGAGCCACUGAACUGCCUCUAAUGAAGGAAAACAUUUCUCUCUCAUUUAUGUUGCAUGUUCUUUUCGAUUUCAUGUUAUGUUUAGUGGAGUAUAAUCCUAAUUUGAUACAAUUGCCAACUUUUAAAAAUUAGGAAAUUUCACACAAAUAUUCAGCUCUCUGGCUUUUCUCUUGAAAAUUUGGUGCAUCUGACAAAACUUGAGGUCAUGCUUCCCAUUGCAGCAACUGACCUGGGCAGGAUAAUGGAUGCCUGCUUCAGACAGGGCUGGAGACCUGGGGGAGGUGGAGUGCCCUGGGUUGAAGGAUUCUUGGUGAGUUAAAUACCCAUUAUUGUCUUUGGCUGUAAAUGAACUCAAGGUCGCUAGGAAGUGAGUGGAAAGUCAGAUGAACUCUGUCUCUCAGAGGCAGGCCAAGCGCAAAGAAGGCACAGAAGCCACUUCAAAACUGCUCAGGCCUUUUGGGAGGAAGUGGUGGGUAUGGAAUGAGGCUGACUUUCAAUGAUGAAGCUGUGACAGAUCAGAAAUCUGUAUUUUUGAGCCAGACUAUGUCUAUGUCUAGAUUUGCCUUUGUCUUUUUGUUGUCAGAAUUUCAUUAAACUAAUUAUUCGUUCA